AUAAAAAAAUCUCUCUCUAGUUUGAUAGAGAGAGAAAAUUCUCUCUACUCCCUUCGUCAUAUUUUAUCUCCUGUCGGGUUAGCCGAGCAUAUUUUCUGGUUGGCUUCCCUCGUCCUUCGGGACAGGGGAAGAUAGUGUAUCCGACUUGUCGGUGGCUUCCCUCCCACCUCCGGUUGGACGUAUAGUUUUGGUUUCAUUUUGUUGAUAUCAGAACUUGGAUCUUCAUGGAGAUGGUGAUUUGUUGAUGUUCUGUAGGUAGGAAGAUGAAUUUAUAGCAUGUGUUGGUUUUAUCUUGAGUUUAGUUAUUGUGCUUUGCUUGAAGGGAAGGAUAAUCAUAGGGGGACAUUUGCAACUCCGGGGAUUUAUGCUUCUUCUUCUCUUAUGGAAACUCACCCUUAAGACAAUAUGAGAUUGAGAGGCUAGUGAGCUCUGCUGUGUCACCUUCCUGGAGAGGCGUGCUUUCGAUAUUGGGUGGUAGUGCCUUGGAGAUCCGACACUGUUUACGCUUAUGUGUUUUUCUGAGUGGCUUUUGGCUGUUCAGAUGCUUAAUCGGAGCUUUGGUUAGGGAUGAAGAAAUGUUUCUCUUCCCAUUUUCCAAAUCGGCGAUCAAGAUUGUUGUGGUAGAUGGACGGCUGUCUUGGUUCUGUUCCCUUUUCUGUUUGUUUAGGGUUCUUAGACUGGGGGUGGGCUACCAUGGUUUGGGCUUGUUUUGUUGUAAGGCUUGAUUUAUGGGUCUCUAAUUUCUCUUUUAAUGUGUUGUAACUAGACUCAAUUUGUAAGUUUGCCUUAUUGGCCUGGAAAUGCAAUAGUCAAGAUUUACAGUUUAAAAAAAAAAAA
rnacentral:misc_RNA from 1 species